rfam:Peniophora sp. CONT PENSPscaffold_107_Cont174, whole genome shotgun sequence.
GCCGGAAUAGCUCAGCUGGGAGAGCAACAGACUGAAGAGUGUAUGCUUUCUGGAGGUCCCGUGUUCAAUCCACGGUUCUGGCA